UACGUAGGGGGCAAGCGUUGUCCGGAUUUACUGGGCGUAAAGAGCGUGUAGGCGGCCAAACAGGUCCGUUGUGAAAACUGGAGGCUUAACCUCCAGACGUCGACGGAAACCGUGUGGCUAGAGUCCGGAAGAGGGGAGUGGAAUUCCUGGUGUAGCGGUGAAAUGCGCAGAUAUCAGGAAGAACACCAAUGGCGAAGGCAGCUCUCUGGGACGGUACUGACGCUGAGACGCGAAAGCGUGGGGAGCGAACAGG
rnacentral:rRNA from 1 species